AGAGUUUGAUCAUGGCUCAGAUUGAACGCUGGCGGCAGGCCUAACACAUGCAAGUCGAACGGUAACAGGAAGCAGCUUGCUGCUUUGCUGACGAGUGGCGGACGGGUGAGUAAUGUCUGGGAAACUGCCUGAUGGAGGGGGAUAACUACUGGAAACGGUAGCUAAUACCGCAUAAUGUCGCAAGACCAAAGAGGGGGACCUUCGGGCCUCUUGCCAUCGGAUGUGCCCAGAUGGGAUUAGCUAGUAGGUGGGGUAACGGCUCACCUAGGCGACGAUCCCUAGCUGGUCUGAGAGGAUGACCAGCCACACUGGAACUGAGACACGGUCCAGACUCCUACGGGAGGCAGCAGUGGGGAAUAUUGCACAAUGGGCGCAAGCCUGAUGCAGCCAUGCCGCGUGUAUGAAGAAGGCCUUCGGGUUGUAAAGUACUUUCAGCGGGGAGGAAGGGAGUAAAGUUAAUACCUUUGCUCAUUGACGUUACCCGCAGAAGAAGCACCGGCUAACUCCGUGCCAGCAGCCGCGGUAAUACGGAGGGUGCAAGCGUUAAUCGGAAUUACUGGGCGUAAAGCGCACGCAGGCGGUUUGUUAAGUCAGAUGUGAAAUCCCCGGGCUCAACCUGGGAACUGCAUCUGAUACUGGCAAGCUUGAGUCUCGUAGAGGGGGGUAGAAUUCCAGGUGUAGCGGUGAAAUGCGUAGAGAUCUGGAGGAAUACCGGUGGCGAAGGCGGCCCCCUGGACGAAGACUGACGCUCAGGUGCGAAAGCGUGGGGAGCAAACAGGAUUAGAUACCCUGGUAGUCCACGCCGUAAACGAUGUCGACUUGGAGGUUGUGCCCUUGAGGCGUGGCUUCCGGAGCUAACGCGUUAAGUCGACCGCCUGGGGAGUACGGCCGCAAGGUUAAAACUCAAAUGAAUUGACGGGGGCCCGCACAAGCGGUGGAGCAUGUGGUUUAAUUCGAUGCAACGCGAAGAACCUUACCUGGUCUUGACAUCCACGGAAGUUUUCAGAGAUGAGAAUGUGCCUUCGGGAACCGUGAGACAGGUGCUGCAUGGCUGUCGUCAGCUCGUGUUGUGAAAUGUUGGGUUAAGUCCCGCAACGAGCGCAACCCUUAUCCUUUGUUGCCAGCGGUCCGGCCGGGAACUCAAAGGAGACUGCCAGUGAUAAACUGGAGGAAGGUGGGGAUGACGUCAAGUCAUCAUGGCCCUUACGACCAGGGCUACACACGUGCUACAAUGGCGCAUACAAAGAGAAGCGACCUCGCGAGAGCAAGCGGACCUCAUAAAGUGCGUCGUAGUCCGGAUUGGAGUCUGCAACUCGACUCCAUGAAGUCGGAAUCGCUAGUAAUCGUGGAUCAGAAUGCCACGGUGAAUACGUUCCCGGGCCUUGUACACACCGCCCGUCACACCAUGGGAGUGGGUUGCAAAAGAAGUAGGUAGCUUAACCUUCGGGAGGGCGCUUACCACUUUGUGAUUCAUGACUGGGGUGAAGUCGUAACAAGGUAACCGUAGGGGAACCUGCGGUUGGAUCACCU
rnacentral:rRNA from 3 species